GGAGGAAGGUGGGGACGACGUCAAGUCAUCAUGGCCCUUACGAGUAGGGCUACACACGUGCUACAAUGGCGCAUACAGAGGGCAGCCAACUUGCGAGAGUGAGCGAAUCCCAAAAAGUGCGUCGUAGUCCGGAUCGGAGUCUGCAACUCGACUCCGUGAAGUCGGAAUCGCUAGUAAUCGUGGAUCAGAAUGCCACGGUGAAUACGUUCCCGGGCCUUGUACACACCGCCCGU
rnacentral:rRNA from 1 species